CCUACGGGGGGCUGCAGUGGGGAAUAUUGCGCAAUGGGCGAAAGCCUGACGCAGCGACGCCGCGUGAGGGAUGAAGGUCUUCGGAUCGUAAACCUCUGUCAGCAGGGAAGAACGGUCACUGUGCUAAUCAGCAGUGAAUUGACGGUACCUGCAAAGGAAGCACCGGCUAACUCCGUGCCAGCAGCCGCGGUAAUACGGAGGGUGCGUGCGUUAAUCGGAAUUACUGGGCGUAAAGCGCUCGUAGGCGGUAUGUCAAGUCAAGGGUGAAAUCCCCGCGCUCAACGUGGGAACUGCCUUUGAAACUGGCAAACUGGAGUGUGUGAGAGGAAGGUGGAAUGCCAGGUGUAGGAGUGAAAUGCGUAGAUAUCUGGAGGAACAUCAGUGGCGAAGGCGACUAUCUGGCACAUAACUGACGCUGAGGAGCGAAAGCGUGGGUAGCAAACAGGAUUAGAUACCCGGGUAGUC
rnacentral:rRNA from 1 species